rnacentral:snRNA from 1 species
GCUUUCUGUCAAAAUAUGCAAUAGCAACAGCUGAAGCUGCGCACUCGGUCGAAGAGGAUGACCUUCCCCAAUAGAAGUGUGCUGUUCAUCAGUCAAUGGUAUACAGAAGCUGUGCUUCCCUGCUAGAAUCUCCAAAAAAGCUCAAGGUUCAUAUGUAGGAGAAUGUAGGGUAGUCAAGCUUCCAGAAUAUGAGCCCAGGUGGCUUCCAGUGUGCCUGGGUGGCC